GAGUAGCUGGUAUUACAGGCGUGUGCCACAAAGCCUGGCUAAGUUUUGUAUUUUUAGUAGAGACGGGGUUUCACCAUGUUGGCCAGGUUGGUCUCGAACUCCUGACCUCAAGUGAUCCACUCACUUUGGCCUUUCAACGUGCUGGGAUUACAGGCGAGAGUCACCGCACCCGGACGACUCUGACAUUUUUGAAGAGUCCAGAAUCCUGUUACACCUGGGAUUUAGGCACUUUCAAUCUGAAAAAAUACAUAUCCUUUCAGCACUCUGGACGGACUUGAGAACUGUCCUUACGUGACCUAAAGCUGGAGUAUUUUGAGAUUGGAGAAUUAAGGCCAACAGAGAUUUUGAGAAACACAUUGAAGGAUCUGUUAACACUUGAUAUACCCAAUAAAAGCAGUGGUUGUGCCAGUGCUGAUCUGUCUUGAUGUGAAUGUGAACAAUGGGAACCUGAGCUGAGCAGUUAAUGCUAGGGUGACAGAAACUGGACCUCUCCCAAGACAUGUGACAGAGUAAUACAGCAGCCAACUUCUUCGCCAAAUUAAAGUUUUACAAGAUUUAACCUGUCAUCAAGACCUGGGAUUUUGGUGAAGGACAGAAUAACGGGCUCCCAGAUUCACAAGCCCCACCAAGAGGAUCACCCCAGGAACGCUUGGAGGCUGAGGAGUUCACUGAGGCUACUGCAUCUUGAGACUCAGGAUGAAGACCCAGCUUGGGGCUGUCAAAGGUUUUUUGCAUGUCUGACACCCAUGACUCCACCUGGACCUUAUGGCUCCACCCAGAAGCAAUUCAGCCCAACAGGAGGACAGCUUCAACCCAUUACGAUUUCAUCUCUGCCCCAACCACUCAGCAGCAAGCACCUGUUACCUGUCCACCCCCACCCCUUCCCCCAAACUGCCUUUGAAAAAUCCCUAACCUAUGAGCUUUGAAUAAGAUGAGUACGAACUUCAUCGCCCACGUGGCGUGGCCGGCCUCGUGUCUAUUAAAUUCUUUUUCUACUACAA
rnacentral:lncRNA from 1 species